AUUGAACGCUGGCGGCAGGCCUAACACAUGCAAGUCGAGCGGAGCGGCGGACGGGUGAGUAAUGCCUAGGAAUCUGCCUGGUAGUGGGGGAGAAAGUACGGAAAGGGGCGCUAAUACCGCAUGCUAUCCGAUGAGCCUAGGUCGGAUUAGCUAGUUGGUGGGGUAAAGGCCAACCAAGGCGACGAUCCGUAACUGGUCUGAGAGGAUGAUCAGCCACACUGGAACUGAGACACGGUCCAGACUCCUACGGGAGGCAGCAGUGGGGAAUAUUGGACAAUGGGCGAAAGCCUGAUCCAGCCAGGCCGCGUGUGUGAAGAAGGUCUUCGGAUUGUAAAGCCCUUUUGGCGGGAAAGCGUUACCCAAAGAAGAAGCACCGGCUAACUCCGUGCCAGCCGCCGCGGUAAUUC
rnacentral:rRNA from 1 species